rnacentral:lncRNA from 1 species
GCAGACCCCAGCAGACACUGACCAGGCACAGGAGGAUGAAGUGAGUUUGUUGGGGACAGAGAACAGCCAAGGGGCAGCCGGCAGUCAGCUCAAGUCCUCACAAAGAAGGGCAAUACCACCCGUGGGCCGGGACAGUCGGCUCGAGGGCCAGCAGCCAGGAACGUGGCGAAGAACUUGGAUCUGAGGUGGGCCCAUGGUGUAGCUGUGGUGUGCUAGCAAGAGUGGCCUCCAAACCCACCCUGGAAGGUGAUCCAGAGACCAUAGAGCAGAAAGGCUUCCUUCUCAGAGUGAGCUGCUGGAAGCCCACCAGUGUCAGGUGACAGAUAGUUUGGAGUACUAUAUUGAGGUCAAAAUUGCCCGAACAAUUUGCAAGAAAAUUUCAGAAGAUGAAAACUGUGCAUUUCAAGAGGAUCCCAAAAUGCAAAAGGUGGUUUUUUGUACUUUUAUUGUUGCAUCUAAACCAUGGAAAUUUGAACUCACCAUGCUGAAGAAACAAUGCAAAGAUAUGUAGUUAUCUUCUAGUGUGUUCUGCCACACUCAUUUCCAUUUUAAAGAAGAAGCAAAGACACUUGCAAGAACUAGAACAACACAGUUAACCCAUUAACUUCAUUUGUUUGGCCUUUUUGCAUUUUUGUGUGUUCUUCAUGGGCUGAUGUUGAAAAUCCAUGAUGUGUUUUGACAGCAUUGCAUAGCCUAUUCUUGCUGGAUACUUCCCCUACUAGCUGGGAUAAUCUGCUGCAAUAAAUGGAAGUGGUUUCUACACCUC